AAAUUGAAGAGUUUGAUCAUGGCUCAGAUUGAACGCUGGCGGCAGGCCUAACACAUGCAAGUCGAACGGUAACAGAAAGCAGCUUGCUGCUUUGCUGACGAGUGGCGGACGGGUGAGUAAUGUCUGGGAAACUGCCUGAUGGAGGGGGAUAACUACUGGAAACGGUAGCUAAUACCGCAUAACGUCGCAAGACCAAAGAGGGGGACCUUCGGGCCUCUUGCCAUCGGAUGUGCCCAGAUGGGAUUAGCUUGUUGGUGGGGUAACGGCUCACCAAGGCGACGAUCCCUAGCUGGUCUGAGAGGAUGACCAGCCACACUGGAACUGAGACACGGUCCAGACUCCUACGGGAGGCAGCAGUGGGGAAUAUUGCACAAUGGGCGCAAGCCUGAUGCAGCCAUGCCGCGUGUAUGAAGAAGGCCUUCGGGUUGUAAAGUACUUUCAGCGGGGAGGAAGGGAGUAAAGUUAAUACCUUUGCUCAUUGACGUUACCCGCAGAAGAAGCACCGGCUAACUCCGUGCCAGCAGCCGCGGUAAUACGGAGGGUGCAAGCGUUAAUCGGAAUUACUGGGCGUAAAGCGCACGCAGGCGGUUUGUUAAGUCAGAUGUGAAAUCCCCGGGCUCAACCUGGGAACUGCAUCUGAUACUGGCAAGCUUGAGUCUCGUAGAGGGGGGUAGAAUUCCAGGUGUAGCGGUGAAAUGCGUAGAGAUCUGGAGGAAUACCGGUGGCGAAGGCGGCCCCCUGGACGAAGACUGACGCUCAGGUGCGAAAGCGUGGGGAGCAAACAGGAUUAGAUACCCUGGUAGUCCACGCCGUAAACGAUGUCGACUUGGAGGUUGUGCCCUUGAGGCGUGGCUUCCGGAGCUAACGCGUUAAGUCGACCGCCUGGGGAGUACGGCCGCAAGGUUAAAACUCAAAUGAAUUGACGGGGGCCCGCACAAGCGGUGGAGCAUGUGGUUUAAUUCGAUGCAACGCGAAGAACCUUACCUGGUCUUGACAUCCACGGAAGUUUUCAGAGAUGAGAAUGUGCCUUCGGGAACCGUGAGACAGGUGCUGCAUGGCUGUCGUCAGCUCGUGUUGUGAAAUGUUGGGUUAAGUCCCGCAACGAGCGCAACCCUUAUCCUUUGUUACCAGCGGUCCGGCCGGGAACUCAAAGGAGACUGCCAGUGAUAAACUGGAGGAAGGUGGGGAUGACGUCAAGUCAUCAUGGCCCUUACGACCAGGGCUACACACGUGCUACAAUGGCGCAUACAAAGAGAAGCGACCUCGCGAGAGCAAGCGGACCUCAUAAAGUGCGUCGUAGUCCGGAUUGGAGUCUGCAACUCGACUCCAUGAAGUCGGAAUCGCUAGUAAUCGUGGAUCAGAAUGCCACGGUGAAUACGUUCCCGGGCCUUGUACACACCGCCCGUCACACCAUGGGAGUGGGUUGCAAAAGAAGUAGGUAGCUUAACCUUCGGGAGGGCGCUUACCACUUUGUGAUUCAUGACUGGGGUGAAGUCGUAACAAGGUAACCGUAGGGGAACCUGCGGUUGGAUCACCUCCUUA
rnacentral:rRNA from 1 species